ACCUUGCUGAUGAGUGCCAAACAGCACGAAAUUUAAGUCCAAGGU
rnacentral:hammerhead_ribozyme from 1 species